rnacentral:rRNA from 1 species
GAUGAACGCUGGCUACAGGCUUAACACAUGCCAGUCGAGGGGAAACGACGGGGAAGCUUGCUUCCCCGGGCGUCGACCGGCGCACGGGUGAGUAACGCGUAUCCAACCUGCCUCUGACUGAGGGAUAACCCGUCGAAAGUCGGCCUAAUACCUCAUGGUAUCGUCUGCGGGCAUCCAACGACGAUUAAAGAUUUCAUCGGUCAGGGAUGGGGAUGCGUCUGAUUAGCUUGUUGGCGGGGUAACGGCCCACCAAGGCUACGAUCAGUAGGGGUUCUGAGAGGAAGGUCCCCCACAAUGGAACUGCGACACGGUCCAAACUCCUACGGGAGGCAGCAGUGAGGAAUAUUGGUCAAUGGGCGAGAGCCUGAACCAGCCAAGUAGCGUGCAGGAAGACGGCCCUAUGGGUUGUAAACUGCUUUUAUGCGGGGAUAAAGUGAGGGACGUGUCCCUCAUUGCAGGUACCGCAUGAAUAAGGACCGGCUAAUUCCGUG